AGAGUUUGAUCCUGGCUCAGGAUGAACGCUAGCGGCAGGCUUAAUACAUGCAAGUCGAGGGGCAGCACUGGUAGCAAUACCUGGUGGCGACCGGCGGACGGGUGCGUAACACGUAUGCAACCUACCCUGUACAGGGGGAUAGCCCGAGGAAAUUCGGAUUAAUACCCCAUACGAUAAGAAUCGGCAUCGAUUUUUAUUGAAAGCUCCGGCGGUACAGGAUGGGCAUGCGCCCCAUUAGCUAGUUGGUGAGGUAACGGCUCACCAAGGCUACGAUGGGUAGGGGGCCUGAGAGGGUGAUCCCCCACACUGGAACUGAGACACGGUCCAGACUCCUACGGGAGGCAGCAGUAAGGAAUAUUGGUCAAUGGGCGCAAGCCUGAACCAGCCAUGCCGCGUGCAGGAAGACUGCCAUUAUGGUUGUAAACUGCUUUUAUAUGGGAAGAAACCUCCGGACGUGUCCGGAGCUGACGGUACCAUGUGAAUAAGGAUCGGCUAACUCCGUGCCAGCAGCCGCGGUAAUACGGAGGAUCCAAGCGUUAUCCGGAUUUAUUGGGUUUAAAGGGUGCGUAGGCGGCGUGUUAAGUCAGAGGUGAAAUUCGGCAGCUCAACUGUCAAAUUGCCUUUGAUACUGGCACACUUGAAUGCGAUUGAGGUAGGCGGAAUGUGACAUGUAGCGGUGAAAUGCUUAGACAUGUGACAGAACACCGAUUGCGAAGGCAGCUUACCAAGUCGUUAUUGACGCUGAGGCACGAAAGCGUGGGGAGCAAACAGGAUUAGAUACCCUGGUAGUCCACGCCGUAAACGAUGAUAACUCGACGUUAGCGAUACACUGUUAGCGUCCAAGCGAAAGCGUUAAGUUAUCCACCUGGGAAGUACGAUCGCAAGGUUGAAACUCAAAGGAAUUGACGGGGGCCCGCACAAGCGGUGGAGCAUGUGGUUUAAUUCGAUGAUACGCGAGGAACCUUACCAGGGCUUAAAUGGGGAACGACCUUCUGGGAAACCAGAAUUUCUUUUAGACGGUCCUCAAGGUGCUGCAUGGUUGUCGUCAGCUCGUGCCGUGAGGUGUUGGGUUAAGUCCCGCAACGAGCGCAACCCCUACUGUUAGUUGCCAGCGGAUAAUGCCGGGGACUCUAGCGGAACUGCCUGUGCAAACAGAGAGGAAGGUGGGGAUGACGUCAAAUCAUCACGGCCCUUACGUCCUGGGCUACACACGUGCUACAAUGGCCGGUACAGAGGGCAGCCACUUCGUGAGAAGGAGCGAAUCCUUAAAGCCGGUCUCAGUUCGGAUUGUAGUCUGCAACUCGACUACAUGAAGCUGGAAUCGCUAGUAAUCGCGUAUCAGCCAUGACGCGGUGAAUACGUUCCCGGGCCUUGUACACACCGCCCGUCAAGCCAUGGGAAUUGGGAGUACCUAAAGUCGGUAACCGCAAGGAGCCGCCUAAGGUAAUACCAGUGACUGGGGCUAAGUCGUAACAAGGUAGCCGUA
rnacentral:rRNA from 1 species